rnacentral:lncRNA from 1 species
AAACAAAAGAAAGAAAACACCUAAACGUUCCAACGAUCCAUGUUGGAUAGCAAGCACGUACAAGAACUUUCCUUUUCUUCUUUGCUGCAACACAAGGUUGGAGUGAUGUUUUGAAGGGUUGGUUAUGUGGAGGAAUGGAUGGGUAGGAGUUUAGAUAUGUAGGGAGAGGCAAGGAAAGGCUUAGAGAAUGAUUAAUUUCUGGAUGAUUUGAAUGAGGUUGCUGCCAUGGUAUUUAUAGGAAAAUGAUGGACUUGUUUAACACAAAAUUCUGGUGGAAUUGAGUAGGUGAGCACGGCAAGAGUGGGAAUUGUUGGUGGGUUAGGUAUUGAGUCAUCCAUUCACAUGUCAUGGUGAGUUAAGCAUUGCAUCAUCCACUCACAUGUCAUGGUGAUUUAAGCAUUGCAUCAUCCACUCACAUGUCAUGGUGAUUUAAGCAUUACAUCAUUACUCAAAUUUCUGGUGAAAGUGAAUCAAUGCCCACGGCAUUGAAGAAUUUCUUGGUUUUGAGUGAAGUUUUGGUCAAUCCUUCUAGAAAUUUAUCCCUUCUUGCAACUUGUAUUUGUUUCACCAGAUUUUUAGCAUGUUUAUAGCCUCAUUUGUCUUCAAAUUCGUCCCUCCUCAUGCCUCCAUGCUUGCACAAUCCAAUCUUGGCCCAAAAAUGUUCUAGAAUGUUCCAAAUUGCUCCUUUUUGCAUACUUUGACAAUAAACCUGAAAUUGCACGAAAAUGACUUUAAACACUAAACUAACUAAGGAAAAAUAACAUAAAUGCAUGAGAACAAGCCAAUUAAGUCGCAUAAAAAUGCUCCUAUCACAACACGACACAUAUCAAUGUCAGAAUGAAACUAGAAACUCUCUUCUAUAAAUAAAGAUCAUUCUCUCACAAUAUUUCCUAAUG